rnacentral:rRNA from 1 species
GUUACCAGCACGUUAUGGUGGGCACUCUAAGGAGACUGCCGGUGACAAACCGGAGGAAGGGUGGGGAUGACGUCAAGUCAUCAUGGCCCUUACGGCCGUGGGCUACACACGUGCUACAAUGGUCGGUACAAAGGGUUGCCAAGCCGCGAGGUGGAGCUAAUCCCAUAAAACCGAUCGUAGUCCGGAUCGCAGUCUGCAACUCGACUGCGUGAAGUCGGAAUCGCUAGUAAUCGCGCAUCAGCCAUGGCGCGGUGAAUACGUUCCCGGGCCUU